rnacentral:rRNA from 1 species
AGAGUUUGAUCCUGGCUCAGAUUGAACGCUGGCGGCAUGCCUUACACAUGCAAGUCGAACGGCAGCACGGGGGCAACCCUGGUGGCGAGUGGCGAACGGGUGAGUAACAUAUCGGAACGUGCCCUGGAGUGGGGGAUAACUAGUCGAAAGAUUAGCUAAUACCGCAUACGAUCUACGGAUGAAAGUGGGGGAUCGCAAGACCUCAUGCUCGUGGAGCGGCCGAUAUCUGAUUAGCUAGUUGGUGGGGUAAAGGCCUACCAAGGCAUCGAUCAGUAGCUGGUCUGAGAGGACGACCAGCCACACUGGGACUGAGACACGGCCCAGACUCCUACGGGAGGCAGCAGUGGGGAAUUUUGGACAAUGGGCGCAAGCCUGAUCCAGCAAUGCCGCGUGAGUGAAGAAGGCCUUCGGGUUGUAAAGCUCUUUUGUCAGGGAAGAAACGGUGAGGGCUAAUAUCCCUUGCUAAUGACGGUACCUGAAGAAUAAGCACCGGCUAACUACGUGCCAGCAGCCGCGGUAAUACGUAGGGUGCAAGCGUUAAUCGGAAUUACUGGGCGUAAAGCGUGCGCAGGCGGUUGUGCAAGACCGAUGUGAAAUCCCCGGGCUUAACCUGGGAAUGGCAUUGGUGACUGCACGGCUAGAGUGUGUCAGAGGGGGGUAGAAUUCCACGUGUAGCAGUGAAAUGCGUAGAGAUGUGGAGGAAUACCGAUGGCGAAGGCAGCCCCCUGGGAUAACACUGACGCUCAUGCACGAAAGCGUGGGGAGCAAACAGGAUUAGAUACCCUGGUAGUCCACGCCCUAAACGAUGUCAACUAGUUGUCGGGUCUUAAUUGACUUGGUAACGCAGCUAACGCGUGAAGUUGACCGCCUGGGGAGUACGGUCGCAAGAUUAAAACUCAAAGGAAUUGACGGGGACCCGCACAAGCGGUGGAUGAUGUGGAUUAAUUCGAUGCAACGCGAAAAACCUUACCUACCCUUGACAUGGCAGGAAUCCCGGAGAGAUUCGGGAGUGCUCGAAAGAGAACCUGCACACAGGUGCUGCAUGGCUGUCGUCAGCUCGUGUCGUGAGAUGUUGGGUUAAGUCCCGCAACGAGCGCAACCCUUGUCAUUAGUUGCUACGAAAGGGCACUCUAAUGAGACUGCCGGUGACAAACCGGAGGAAGGUGGGGAUGACGUCAAGUCCUCAUGGCCCUUAUGGGUAGGGCCUCACACGUCAUACAAUGGUACAUACAGAGGGCCGCCAACCCGCGAGGGGGAGCUAAUCCCAGAAAGUGUAUCGUAGUCCGGAUUGCAGUCUGCAACUCGACUGCAUGAAGUUGGAAUCGCUAGUAAUCGCGGAUCAGCAUGUCGCGGUGAAUACGUUCCCGGGUCUUGUACACACCGCCCGUCACACCAUGGGAGCGGGUUUUACCAGAAGUAGGUAGCUUAACCGCAAGGAGGGCGCUUACCACGGUAGGAUUCGUGACUGGGGUGAAGUCGUAACAAGGUAACC